AGUCGCUCUAUCGCUUUACUUAGGUAAAGAGGAAAGUCCGGACAGCAUAGAGAGUCAUGCUUCCUAACGGGAAGGGUUCCGAAAUUCGGGAUACAGCUAGUGUCGCAGAAAAUAACCGCCUUGUGUAUUCAGGGUAAGGGUGAAAAGGUGAGGUAAGAGCUCACCAAUACUUGGAGUGAUUCAAGUAGUUGGAUAAACCUUAUGAGCUGAAAGAUCAAGUAAACCGGGAAAUCUUUAAAUAGGUACAGAGUUUCUCGCUCAACUCGGAGGGUAGAUCGAUUGAACCUAUGAGUGAUUGUAGGUCUAGAUAAAUGAUAGAGGCAGGUUGCAAAACUUGUACAGGAUCCGGCUUAUAGACUCGAUU
rnacentral:RNase_P_RNA from 1 species